UUCCAAGCUAGAAAACGAAGUGUUCAUUCAAUUGCAACGUGAAAACACCAUUUAUCCCACUGAGAGAAUGAUGCUGUUCCGUAUGAUGCUAAUCCUUUGCGCGUUGGUCGCCGGUAUCGUCGCUGUACCGGGAACGCUUCUGCGGAAUACGGUCGUCAAACGGCCGAUCUUUGUCAGACCGGCCCCGGUUCUCGUUCACCGACCGCUCGUGGCUAGAAGACUUGGCUCCCACGGAGGAUGGUGGUAACAUGGAAUCAAUCCCACUUCCAAUCCUUCAUCCACGUCUGUUUUUGGGGAAAAUUAAUUCACUGAGGACCGCCUGAAGGAUGGCGAGCAAGCGCAAGCGAGCAAACCCAAUUUCCAAUCACACCUGACCGAACCCGGAUACAGCUCCGAAGAGAGAGAACGUUAAAUUUCAUGCAAAUGCUUAGCAAUAAAUCGAAUACGCCCAAGCAGCUGCCGCCACCAU